rnacentral:pre_miRNA from 24 species
CCCCCCCGUUUUUGGCAAUGGUAGAACUCACACUGGUGAGGUAACAGGAUCCGGUGGUUCUAGACUUGCCAACUAUGGGGCGAGG